rnacentral:lncRNA from 1 species
CUGCAACCUCCGCCUGCCAGGUUCAAGCGAUUCUCCUGCCUCAGCCUCCUGAGUAGCUGGGAUUACAGGAAGGCUCCACCACGCCCAGCUAAUUUUUGUAUUUUUAGUAGAGAUGGGGUUUCACCGUGUUGGUCAGGUUGGUCUCAAACUCUUCACCUUGCGAUCUGCCCGCCUCGGCCUCCCAAAGCACUGGGAUUAGAGGUGUGGACCACAGUGCCUGGCCCAAAAACGUCAUGCAUUUUCCAUGCUGUGGUUUUGUACGCAGGAGCCAAUACCUUUUUUUUUUUUUUUUUUCCUGGGAGGCAAAUGCUUCCUAAGGCUCCCCCAAAGCUUGCUCCGUAACAGCCCAGGCAGGCCAGACCCCACCCUGCCGAGCCCCAGUGCCCCGAGUUUGAGCCCCGGGCUCACCUGCACCAUCCCAUUGCUGAACAGCAGCAGCAGGGCGUGCUCAGAGGCCAGGAAGCGCAGGAGGCAGAGGCCGGGUCCAGCAGGUGGCACAGGUGUGGGGAGGGUCCCCUCCUGUGGACAGACUCGGCUGAGGUCACGUGACGCAGGGGGCGUCCCCACCCCUCGCCCCCACACCCAGCACCCCAGCUCUCACCUCCCGCAGCCGCCGCCGCAGGCAGCCGGCAAAGAGCUGCAGCACGGCCAGCUUGGCGCCCAGCAGGCCGGGCACAUCCCUCAGGGCGAAGGCUUCCAGCCUCCCGCAGUUGGGCAUGUAGCACACUUGGCUGGGGCCAGGACACAGGGCCUCUGUCCUGGACAGCCCAGGCCAGUGGACACCCUUCCAUUGACCUACACCCCCUGGAAUGGUGGCUUUAAAGAGCAGCUCUGCCCUAGUUACACCUUAUCCAUAUGCCCAGUGCGGCUCUCUGUCCUCUCUUCACCUCAGCUGACAGCUGGUCCACCCUUCCUGCCUUCCAACUCUAUCCACACUGCAGCCCCUCUCAUCCCUCCCCGGUCACCAGCACAGCCCAGGCCUCCGCCACUGCCCACCUGAUGAGUCCAGCCACCUCCCCACUGGCCCCCAUGUCACUCCCGCUAGAAAGAUUGUGUUAAGGCCGGGCGCGGUGGCUCACACCUAUAAUCCCAGCACUUUGGGAGGUCCAGGUGGGAGGAUCACCUGAGGUCGGGAGUUCGAGACCAGCCUGGCCAACAUGGAGAAACCCCGUCUCUACUAAAAUUCAAAAUUAGCCAGGCGUGGUGGCGGGUGCCUGUAAUCCCAGCUACCCCGAUCCCGGGAUGGGGAGGUUGCGCUGAGCCGAGAUUGCACUCCAGCCUGGGCAACAAGAGCACAACUCCGUCUCAAAAAAAAGAGACAGAGUCUCGUUCUGUCACCCAGGCUGGAGCGCAGUGGUGCAAUCAUGGCUCACUGGAGCCUUGACCUCCUGGGACCAAGUGAUCCUCCCACCUCAGCCAUCCAAGUAGCUGGGACCUACUGAUGCAUACCCUUGCAGUUGGCUAAUUUAAAAAAAAAAAAACUUGGCCAGGCGCGGUGGCUCACGCCUGUAAUCCCAGCACUUUGGGAGGCCGAGGCGGGCAGAUCACGAGGUCAGGAGAUCGAGACCAUCCUGGCUAACACAGUGAAACCCCGUCUCUACUAAAAAUACAAAAAAUUAGCCAGGAGUGGCUGAGCGCGGUGGCUCAUGCCUAUAAUCCCAGCACUUUGGGAGGCUGAGGCGGGUGGAUCACCUGAGGUCAGGAGUUCGAGACCCGCCUGGCCAACAUGGAGAAACCCCGUCUCUAAUAAAAAUACAAAAUUAGCCAGGAGUGGUGGCGGGCACCUGUAAUCCCAGCUACUUAGGAGGCUGAGGCAGGAGAAUGGUGUGAACCCGGGAGGUGGAGCUUGCAGUGAGCCGAGAUUGCGCCACUGCACUCCAGCCUGGGUGACAGAGUGAGACUCCAUCUCAAAAAAAAAAAAAAAAAAAGAAGAAAAUUUUGUAGAGAAAGGUCUUGCUGUGUGGCCCAGGCUGAUCUCAAACUGCUGGGCUCAAGUGAUUCUCCCACCUCAGCCUCCCACAGUGCCAGGAUUACCGGUGUGCACCACCACGCCCAGCUAAUUUUUAAUUUUUUUGUGGAGAUGGGGUCUUGCUAUGAGGCCAAGGCUGAUCUCAAACUGCUGGGUUCAAGCGAGUCCGCACCUCAGCCUCCAACGUGCCAGGAUUAUAGGUGUGUGCCACCACACCAAGCUAAUUAUUAAAAUUUUUGUAGGGAUGGGGUCUUGCUAUGUUGUCCAGGCUGAUCUCGAUCUCCUGGGCUCAAGGAAUCCUGCCUUGGCCUCCCAAAGCACAGGGCUGCCGCUUGUCAUUCACGUCACUUUCUCAGAGACCCCUUCCCCUUCCCCCUACCCACACUACUGAGAUUCACCUCCCCUCCUAAUCUGCCUCUUCACUGGGUUCAUUUACUACAGAAACGCACUUGCUGAUUCGUUUAGUGUUGUUCUCCCCGACCAGGCAGGGAGCACCUGUAGGUGUGCACAGUAGGUGCUUAAUAAAUACUUGAGAGAUGAAUGAAAAAAGGCAGGGGGAGUGCCUGGUCCCCCAGGGCACAGGAGGCCACAACUUACCCUCCGGGGGGUCGCAGGGCCAUGUGGGUGCCGUCCCGUGCGCCCCCCGUCCAAGAGCUGGUAGCCAAAGCCGUAUUUGCUGGAAUAAUCCACCCAUUUGGGGGCCCAGAGGAUGGGCUGCUGCUCUCCCAGGGGGUCCUGUGUGGCUGGGCACAAACAAAGGUAUGCUGAGCCAGGGGUCAGGGGUCAGGCAUAUAGUAGGCACUCAAUAAAUGUGAUGGACUGAAACCAUGGGUGAGACCCUUCCCACGGCGGGGACCGGACAGAGGCUUGGGGGCUUCGGUGGUGGAUUCUAGGAGACCAGACAUCAACAGAAGCCACGGAACCGUAACUAAUUUCUGGCUUGCAGAGGGAGACUGUGGGAUACUGGCGCACCCCUGGGAAUGAGCAAUUCUCAAAUACUUGCAAUGCUCUGAAAAUACUACACAUUUCUGGGUGUGUGUGUUUUUGUUUGUUUUGUUUUGUUUUGUUUUUUUGAGACAGAGUCUUGCUCUGUCCCCAGGCUGGAGUGCAGUGGCGCAAUCUCGGCUCACUGCAACCUCCGCCUCCUGGGUUCAAGCGAUUCUCCUCCCUCAGCCUCCUGAGUAGCUGGGAUCACAGGCACGUGCCACCACACCCAGCUAAUUUUUGUGUUAUUAGUAGAGAUGGGGUUUCACCAUGUUGGCCAGGAUGGUUUCGAUCUCCUGACCUUGUGAUCCACCUGCUUCAGCCUCCCAAAGUGCUGGGAUGACAGGCAUGAGCCACCACGCCCUGCCCCGUUUCUGGGUUUUUGCUUGUUUGUCUGUUGGCUUUUCAGACAGGGUCUCGCUCUGUUGCCCAGGCUGAAGUGCAGUGGCACGAUCUCAGCUCACUGCAGCCUCCACCUCCGAGCUCAAGUGAUCCUCCUUCCUCAGCCUCCUGAGUAUCUGGGACAACAUGCAUGCACCACCAUGCCCGGCUCAUUUUUUUGUAGAGAUGGGGUCCUGAGGCUGGGCGCGGUGGCUUAUACCUGUAAUCCUAGCACUUUGGGAGGCCGAGACAGGCGGAUCACGAGGUCAGGAGAUCGAGACCAUCCUGGCUAACACAGUGAAACCCCGUCUCUACUAUAAAUACAAAAAUUAGCCGGGCAUGGUGGCGGGUGCCUGUAGUCCCAGCUGCUGGGGAGGCUGAGGCAGGAGAAUGGCGUGAACCCGGGAGGCAGAGCUUGCAGUGAGCCGAGAUCACGCCACAGCACUCCAGCCUGGGCGACAGAGUGAGACUCCGUCUCAAAAAAAAAAAAAAAAAAAAAAAAAAAAAAAAAUGCGCCCAGGCGUGGUGGCUGACGACGUCUGUAAUCCCAGCACUUUGGGAGGCUGAGGCGGCCAGAUCACCGGAGGUCAGGAGUUCGAGACCAGCCUGGCCAACAUGGUGAAACCCUGUCUCUACUAAAAGAAUACAGAAAUUAGCAGGUGUGGUGGCACACGCCUGUAAUCUCAGCUACUCGGGAGGCUAAGGCAGGAGAAUCGCUUUGAACCCAGGAGGUGGAGGUUGUGAUGAGCCAAGAUGGCACCAUUGCACUCCAGCCUAGGCAACAGAGUGAGAUUCCGUCUCUUAAAAAAAAAGAAAGAAAAGGAAAAGAAAAGGCUUCUGGGCUGGAGACCUGGCGUGGGGUUUGGGGCUCCCUCUCUAAGGGUGGCAGUAUGUGUGGGUCAGUGGAGGCUCAGGGAGAGGAGGGGAGAGGAAGAGGGUUUGGGUUCUGGGACACUGGGGAUAAGAGGGGUCCCCCUUUGGAGUGUGGCCUGUGGGCACAGGGCUCUGUGUCCAACGUCCCAGGUCACGUUUCCUCACUCACUGGGUCUCUAACGAGCCCGGGUCAUGAAUUUAAGAGACCGUGAAACGUAAGGCUGCCGCAGAGCCCUCCGUGCCAGGCUCUGCACACAGGAGGGCUAACCCACUCUCCUGAUGUCACCGUGUCCUGGGGCCUCCCUCACCCCUACUCCUCACCCCCAGAAAUACCCAGGAGGGCCCAGGAUGGGAAUGAAGGCAAUUUUACUUGGCUAGUAAGAGUAAAGGUGAUCCUGGGGGCUGGGCCGGCUCCUACCCGGGGGGCCUACAUCCAGGCACAGCUGCAGGUGUCUGAGGGCCGCCUCCACCUCUGGCCGCCGGCUCCCCUCGGGCCCUGGGAAGACAGGUCUUUGUGCCGCAGACAGGUCUGGGUUCCCACCACCAGGCUCUUCCAACCAGUCCCCCUCCCCACGGCUCCAUCCAGGAACAUCUCAUCCUCAACCCAGAGGCGGCAUUCCCAUUUGACAGGCGGGAAAGGUGAGGCCGGGACGGCGGCUGUGACCCUGGUAAGCCACGGCCUUGGUCCCCCUGUCACUUGUAAUUCCUCCCUCCCCACCUGCAGCCCCGGGCUGGGACGGGGAUCUGCUCACCGGCCAGGUCACUCUGCAGGGUCCCUUGUGCGACCAGGUGGAUGGGGCCUUCCAGGCAGGGAACCUCUUUCGCAGACAGGGAGCUCUGAGGUGGGAGCAGCAGGGGUGGGGGUGGCCCCGGCCCCAGCCCCAGGGACAGGCGUGAGGUGGGUGGCAGGCUCUGGCCCCUGCCUGUGCCCUCCGUGCUCUGCACACAGAGGCACUGCUUUCCCCUUGGGAGGCAGCCUCGGAGUGUCUCGGAGGCAUACAGUAGGUGCUCAAUAAAUGUGAUGGACUGAAGCCAUGGAUGGGACCCUUCCCAUGGCCUCGAGCCCGGCCCUUGGGAAAGCCCAGGUGGGCACAUUUGGACACAAAUGGAUCCCAGCUCUGAUGCGUCAGGACGGGACUAGGGGGAGGGGGCCGGGCUUGGAGACCCCAGAAGGGGUUCAGAGAAGCCGGCAUGGGGGAGGGGGUUUUAGCAGGGGCCAGCAUGCCCUCCACCUGUGUCUCCCCGUGUCCCCCACCCCGAUGUCUCACCUCGCCGUCCCACUCCAUGGAGUCAGGGUCUGGCCCACCUUCUCCUGGACCCGAGGCCUCUUUAGGCGUGAAGGGGCCUGAGGGAGGCACAAGGCCUUGGAGGGGGCACAGCCUGGGCCCCAAGCUGGGGGUAGGGGGGCACCUGCCACCCACACCCACCCCUGAUGUGGAGACAGAGCGGAGCAGGUGGCAGUUGUGGGCAGGUGGGAGGUGUGGGCAGGCGGGAGGUGUGGGCAGGUGGGGGCAGGUAGCAGGCGUAGGCAGGUGUGGGCAGGUGGGAGGUGUGAGCAGGUGGGAGGUGUGGGCAGGUGGGAGGUGUGGGCAGGUGGGAGGUGUGGGCAGGUGGGAGGCGUGGGCAGGUGUUGGGCAGGUGUGGGCGGGGGUGGUACUUACAGGGUGGCCGGCACUGGGUGAGCAGCCGCUGGCCCACCUUCCGGAAGAUCCUGCCCAGAGGCGGGGGUAUGGCGAAGAUGGGGGGACUGUGGCAGGAGUGGGCCGGCAGCCGGUCUGGAGUGAAACCCUUUGGAUGGGGAUUUGGGGUUAUCCCCGGCUUAGGUCACCCAGCCCCUGAGCACCUGGGUUACCUGGGACAGGGCGGGGCCUCCCUCGGCUGAGCAGGGCAGGCUCUGGCUCAUCACCUGCCAGGGACCCCACGCCAGGGACCCCACGCCGAGGACCGCCGCCCACCUGUGUGAAGAAGUCGUCCUGCAGCAGGUGGUCCAGGCUGGGCCGCUCGGCCGGGUUGGGUGCUAGGAGGUGCACGAUGAGGCGGCGCGCAUUGGCAGACAGGUGAGCGGGUUCGGGGUAGUGGCCCUCACGGAUGUUUUGGUACAUCUCCGACAGGGGUGAGGCCAUGAAGGGUGGGGUGCCAGUCAGCACCGUGUACCUGGGCCAGGUGGGGGGCAAGAACCUGGGUGUCCAGGCAUCGCUCAGAGCUACCCCUGCACACUUGGCCAGACCUGCCUACACAGCUUAGCUGUGCAACCCAUAUCGGCUUCCUCAUCUCCCAACAUCCGCCUGCACCUAGCACCCUGUGCAGUCCCAUGCACGCUGCUUGGUGGACACCAGCGUCUGUCCAUCCCCUGCCUGCACCUGGCACCCUGUGCAGUCCCAUGGACCCUGCUUGGUGGACACCAGCGUCUGUCCAUCCCCUGCCUGCACCUGGCUCACCCUGAACUCACCUGCAUACACCUUUUCAAUGCUUCUAUUUUUUUUUUUUAAAGACAGGGUCUCAUUCUGUCACCCAGGCUGGAGUGCCGUUGUGCAAUCACAGCUCACUGCAGUCUCCACCUCCUGAGCUCAAGCAAUCCUCCCAACUCAGCCUCCUGAAUAGCUGGGACUACAGGUGCACACCACCACUCCUGGCUAAUUUUUGUAAUUUUUGUAGAGACAGGGUUUCACCAACUUGGCCAGGCUGGUCUUGAACUCCUGGGCUCAAGCGAUCCUCCUGCCUCGGCCUCCCAAAGCUCUAGGAUUACAGGCGUGAGUCACUGCGCCUGGCCUCCACCUUCCAAUGCUAUCCCAUGCCUGCUCACACCUGCCCUGCGCCCACACACGCUGUAUCCCUGUACACAUACGCCCUGACCUGCCUGUGCCACUGCCACCUGCCCACACCUGUCCACCUCUCUGUGCACACCCUCCCCCGUCCUCCCUCACACACGCCUCCCCACACACGUCCUGUUCAUACUGCACACUUGGCGACAGGUGCCUGUUCCACGCGCCCCACCCUGCACAACGGUCCCCACCUGUUCCGUGCAGGCUCCCCCCCCGCCACACCUGCCCCCCCCGGAGGCCCUGCCCACCUUCUCCAGGACCCCACUCACAUGAUGCAGCCCAGAGCCCAGAUGUCCUACUGGCAGGAGUGACCGUUUCUGGAGACAACCUCAGGGUCCAGGAAGUUAGGGGUCCCACAGAGUACUCUAGGAAGGGCGUCAUGGGGGGCUCAGGAAGGCUGGGAUCCCCGUGCCAGACUUCAGGGCCAGCCGUGCCCACCCGGACGGACUGCUCAGAGCCCUCCCCCCGGCUCUCACCUGUGGCAGCGGCCCCCUGGCCCCACCUUGGCCGCCAGUCCCAGGUCUCCAAUCUUCACCUCCAUGUUCUUGUUAAGGAAGAAGUUACCUGGCAGUGGGAGGGGCAUUGCGCAUGGGGGUGGAUCCGUGCCCACCUCCCGACGCCCCCGCCCACAGUUCCCCUUCCUGGCACUCACUGAGCUUCAGGUCGCGGUGCAGGAUGCACCGCUGGUGCAGGUAGCGCAGGCCGCUGACCAGGCCCCGCAGGUAGUCGCGCACUUCUGGCUCCGUCAGGAUCUGCCGCGCCCUCAGCACGUGGGCCAAAGACUGUGGGUGACCAGCGGCCCCGGAUUAGAAGGCAAAUGUAAGCUCAGCCUGGCCAAGGUGGUAUGGCUGAUUAUGGGAUGAGCACAGGUGAGCGCAGGUGCACACAGGUGAGCAAAGAUGACCCACCCCAAUAGGAGCAUGCGGGUUCAGAUGGGCCCAGGUGGCCACUGAGGGGGGGCACGAACCUUUCCCCACGGGCACAGCUGCCCGGCCCCGGCCCCGCACCUGGCACCACCUUGAGGGUGAACACGGCGCUGGUGGACAUGCUUGUCAGCUUGAGAAGGGCCAGGUGAUUAGGAGUGAACGCAGAGGGGGCAUAUUCUGGCACAGGUGGACCCAGGUGGGCUCAGGUCUACUUAAUGGGCACAGUGAGUUCACGGCCACGGUGGGCACAGCAGGGUGCAGGAGGGGCGCAGGUGACCACAGGUAGGCACAGGGGCAUGCUGGUGGGUACAGGUGGGCAUGGGUGAGUCCAAGGGGGCCAAGAAGAAGCAAACACAUUCUGAUGGGCCCAGGCGGUCACAGGUGAGUCUGAGACGGGCCUGAUGAGCACAGCGUAAGCUGGGCCCAGGUGGAUCAAGAGAGCCUGGGUGUGCCCAGGUGAGUAAAGGAUGGACACAAUUGGCCCUACGUAGGCGUAAGAAGCGCUGGCGAAUGGACAGCAGAGGGCACACAGGAUGGUACGGGGGGCAGCGGCGAGGUGCAGAUGGACACGGGGUGGACAGAGACGGGCACAGCUGACAUGAAUCCUGCCCUCUCCCCGCCCCUGGGCACCUGGCGGCUGCAGUACUCCAGCACCAUGUACACGUGGUCGCGGUCAGCAAAGUGUCCGUGGAAAGCCACGAUGUUGCGGGGUCGCAGGCGGCUAUGCAGGGCAAUCUCACGCUCCACCUGCAGGCACGGCCCCGACAUGUACCCGCCUGCAGCGGGGCACAGGCUGCAGGAUGCUCGCCUGCCUCCUGUACGAUCUCAUGGCCACCCAGGGCUGGGACCAAAGGGCAGGGCCUUCUUCGGGACACGCUGCGGGCUGCGGACUGUGGGCCCUGGGGACCGAUGGGGACACGCACCUUUCCCUGCGGGCGAAGCCACCCGGCCCCAGCCCCGCCACACGGCACCACCUUGAGGGCGAACACGGCGCUGGUGGACAUGUCUGUCAGCUUGUAGCAGCGGCUGAAGGCGCCCUGUGGGGAGGGGUCAGCAGAUCAGUGGGCAGGUGUGCACGGGUGUGCAAGCUGGCAGCGCGUACAGAGGCACAGGGCAGCCAGGGACGCAGGCGCGUCCAGGUCUCUCCACACACACACCGGGGAAAAAACAACACACAGCUCCCACCCUCCCGCCUGGACACACAAGACAUGAUGCACACAAGAAGGCACAGAGACACAGACACAGACACAUCCACGCCUGGUGCAUAGAGGCCACGGACCAGAAGACAGCACCGGAUGCACAACACCACGCCUGAAUACGACACACAAACACGCAACGCCCAGACACAGAGUCACCAUGCAUGGACACACAACACAACACCCAGAUACACAACGCAGCAACACACAAACACAUGAAUAUACAAUGUCUGGACACACAGUCACCACGUGUGGACACACAACACAAUACCCAGACACAGCACAGGAACACACAAACACAUGAACACACAACACCUGGACACACAGUACAACACAUGGACAAAGACACAGAUACAAACACAUGAACACACAACUCCUAGACACACCACAUAUGAACACACAAACACACAAGCACACCACAUGAACACACAACACCCAGACACACAACACAAUGACUGGACACACAAAGGCAUGACGCACAAACAACAGGUGAACAAGCAACACAACACCCAGACACACACACACACACACACACACACACACACGAACACCGCACAGCACCCAGACACUUGGAAGCAGCGGGCACAGACGCGGCACACUCAGACCCUCGCCAGGCUCGCACACACACCCAGGGGCAACACAGCGUCGCAUCCCGAGGCCGAGCCGCACGCCCACACCCCGGACACGCAACCCACGGACACGACGCACAGCGCGCUCAACACGGUUCCCGCCAUGCGAAACCCCGCACGGGAGGCCCCGCGGCUCCGGACGCGCGCCCGCUCCAGACCCCGCGCUCGCAGGGACGCGCCGCGUAGACCGCGCAGGAUCGCCCGCGCGCCCCGGGACCCCAGCCCAGCCCGGUCCGGCCCCGUCGCGGACUCGGGGCGCGGGCCUCCCACCUUGCCGAUCAGCUUCCCGCGCCUGUACACGCGGCCCGAGCCCGGGUCUCGCAGGAAGGCGGCGACCAGGGGGCGACUCCUGCGCCGCCGCCGCGGCCGGGGCUCCAUCGCGCGGACUCUGGCGCAGCCGGGCCGAGACCACCGCGC